rnacentral:rRNA from 1 species
AUUGAACGCUGGCGGCAUGCUUUACACAUGCCAGUCGAACGGCAGCGCGGGCUUCGGCCUGGCGGCGAGUGGCGAACGGGUGAGUAAUGCAUCGGAACGUGCCCAGUAGUGGGGGAUAGCCCGGCGAAAGCCGGAUUAAUACCGCAUACGACCUGAGGGUGAAAGCGGGGGACCGAAAGGCCUCGCGCUAUUGGAGCGGCCGAUGUCGGAUUAGCUAGUUGGUGGGGUAAAGGCUUACCAAGGCGACGAUCCGUAGCUGGUCUGAGAGGACGACCAGCCACACUGGGAAUGAGACACGGCCCAGACUCCUACGGGAGGCAGCAGUGGGGAAUUUUGGACAAUGGGGGCAACCCUGAUCCAGCCAUGCCGCGUGCGGGAAGAAGGCCUUCGGGUUGUAAACCGCUUUUGUUCGGGAAGAAAUCCUCUGGGCUAAUACCCCGGGGGGAUGACGGUACCGGAAGAAUAAGCACCGGCUAACUACGUG